GAGGGUAUAGCUUAGUGGUAGAGUGCUUGCCUAGCAUGCAUGAGGUCCUGGGUUCAAUCCCCAGUAACACCA
rnacentral:tRNA from 1 species